GGCGGUCCUCAGGUGAUGCACCCUGGAUUCAAGCUCCCUCCUCUCUGGUUCUGGGGUGCAUCACCCGAGAACCGCC
rfam:Myotis brandtii contig227617, whole genome shotgun sequence.